CGGGGAUACACAAACACACCGGGUUGCGGGAGGGGGCAUCGGACUGACUUUGGGAGGUUCCGAAUCCCAUUGUAAAGCUGGGGAAUGCCCUCCAGAACUCAGAUGGCCAAAUGGGAUUCAUGGACCACCCUAGAUGCGGUGCAUGGGGGUCCUGCUUCCCAGUUCCUCUCAUUUAAUCUCAUCUAAAUCAGCUUUUAGUCCCUUCUUUCUGGACCAACUGAUCUACUAGUCUGAGUGUAAGAAAACCUGGUCCCUCUAGGCCCCCCCAGGACAACAGGAUCUGAGCUUCAUGAGAGUGAUGGGACUUUCAGUCCUGUCCUCCCUAAUUCUUUCAGGAUUGAUGGAUGAUGGCCAUAGGAAUGUUUCUGAAGGCAUGGACUGCUUUACCUGGGAAGUGCCCCUGAUCAUGGUCAUGAUGAAGUCUCUGUGGCCUGGAGCAUCGAUGAUAAUGCUGUAGUAUGUGCUAGUCUUGAACUUCCACAGGGAGAUAUCAAUGAUCCUUUUCCUUCCCGUCUCCACAUGUCCAGAAGUUUGGUCCCCAUAAAAUUACAGUGGGCUGGGCACAGUUGCUCACGCCUGUAAUCUCAGCACUUUGGGAGCCUGAAGCAGGAGGAUCACUUGAACUUAGGAAAAGAAGGCCAGCCUGGGCAAUAUGAUUUAACCCAUCUCUACAAAAAAUUAAAAAUAGAGAAAAGAAAAAUUAGCCAGGCACAGUAGUGUGCACCUGAGGGGGCUGAAGUGGGAGAAUCACUU
rnacentral:lncRNA from 1 species